UACCAAAAGGUCCCUGACAUUGAAUAUUUUGAUAGUUAUUGCAGCCAUAACUGAAAGGACAACGGGAGGAAUGUGGUUGCUUGCCAGACAAAACAUUAGUCACAUCAGUGAAACCCUCAUCUCUAUUGAACCCGCUUUCCCACUAUUUUUUUUGUUUGAACAGCUCAGUACUCGCACAGGAAAUAUUUAAAAAUGUGUGGAAUAAUGUGUCUUUUUACCGUUCAAUUAACCUUAGCCCUUGAACAGAAGAAGCUGGAAACACAGAGGUUGAAGUCUUAAGGAGGGCCUUGGAGUUAAUUGGGAAUUACUUCAGAUGGCAUUUACCAUCACUGUAACUGAACUGGAACCAUUUUUUUCUUUCCCAUUCUUAAUUUAAGCCCGUGUUAUGAUUUCACCCGUCAGAAAGUGGAAUAAGGUGGUUGCUCUUAUUUCCUCUCCCCACAAGCAGCAUUCUGUUCUGUUGACCUAAUCACAUUACAUAUAUUUUGGUAUUCAAUUAUGGACUACUGCUGUCACUUAGGUUUCCAGGGUAACGACAUUUUUGGUGCUGCACGCGAUUCUCCAGUAACAAGAAAAUGCAACUGCAAUAAAGAUCAUAUGUUAAAGGAAUUGCAGCGUAGUGGCUGUGUUGCAGCCCAAACGAACCAGAGGCUGAGACCCAAAGUGCUACAGCGAGGAGAUUUAUCUGCAGAUGACCGAAGAAAUCUGACUUUCUUUUAAUGUCUGGUAUCAUUAAUGGUGAUCAUAGGUUACUCAUAGUCAUACAGCGUGGAAUCAGGUUCUUCGCCCCUACUUGCCCACACAUGUCCCAGCUACACUUGUUCAACCUGCCUGCGUUUGGUCCAUAUCCCUCCAAACCUGUCCUAUCCAUGUACCUGUCCAACUGUUUCUUACAAGAUGGGAUAUUCCCUGCCUCAAUCACCUCCUCUGCCCACCACCCUAUGUGUGAUAUAUUGAUAUAUUGUUUGCCUAUGUAUAACCAUACCCAAAACAAUGUAGUUUGCUCUUAAAUUCCCUCUAAAAAAUCCUAGAAAGUAUUCAGUUCAAGCCCA